GUGAGGAAUAUUGGACAAUGGAUGGAAAUCUGAUCCAGCCAUGCCGCGUGCAGGAAGACGGCCCUAUGGGUUGUAAACUGCUUUUAUACGGGAGCAAUAAGGUCUAUGCAUAGAUUGAUGAGAGUACCGUAUGAAUAAGCAUCGGCUAACUCCGUGCCAGCAGCCGCGGUAAUACGGAGGAUGCGAGCGUUAUCCGGAUUUAUUGGGUUUAAAGGGUGCGUAAGCGGCUUUGUAAGUCAGCGGUGAAAUUUUGCAGCUUAACUAUAAAAGCGCCGUUGAUACUGUGAAGCUAGGAUUUGGUUGCUGUGGGCGGAAUGUGUGGUGUAGCGGUGAAAUGCAUAGAGAUCACACAGAAUAUCGAUUGCGAAGGCAGCUCACAAAGCCAAUAUUGACGCUGAGGCACGAAAGUGUGGGGAUCAAACAGGAUUAGAAACCCCAGUAGUCC
rnacentral:rRNA from 1 species